GACGGAGGAGGCAAGCGUUAUCCGGAAUUAUUGGGCGUAAAGGGUACGUAGGCGGCUGGUCAAGUCUGGGGUUAAAGGCCACAGCUCAACUGUGGGAAGGCCCUGGAAACUGACCGGCUAGAGUGAGGUAGGGGUUGCGGGACUUCCCGGUGUAGCGGUGAAAUGCGUAGCGAUCGGGAAGAACACCUGAGGCGGAAGCGCGCAACUGGGCCUCAACUGACGCUGAGGGACGAAAGCUCGGGGAGCGAAGGGG
rnacentral:rRNA from 1 species